rnacentral:sRNA from 1 species
GAAGAAAACUGCAAUCGUUGGAAAUUCCUAAAAUGUUAAAACACAUUUAAUGACAGCGACCUCAUGGAACUCGGAGACCACAAACGCAAGAGCCACAAAAUUUUGCCGCUGUUCGAGCUGACGACGCACUUUUGAAGAGGGGGAGACCUCAUGUCGGACAAUCGAAAUGAGCUUGUUUACUUUUGCGCAGAGGUAAAAUUUAUGCCAAGUGCUUCGUGCAAGGGAGCCAGGGAGCAAGGAUGCGCCAUGGAGCAUACAUACUUCCGGCACGUCACAACUUGACUUGACUCCAAAAACUUGGCCACUCUCUUUCUUGAAGAAGAAGGCUGAGCAGAAGGAGCUGGGGGAGUGAAAAGUGGACUAAGAAGAGUAGCUUGCGGAACGUGCCCUGAUGUCUCAGAGCACUCAACGAGGCACGCAUCCAUAAAGAGCAACAAAUUGCGAGGAGUUCGCUUUUGAUAACUCUUGAUUGAAAGACAUCUUGUGAUUCCAGCUUCGAUAUCGGGCUAAAG